UAAAGGAACUAUGGAAAUGUUUACCCCAACUUUUUAUUUUGAAAAAUGUUAAACCUACAGAAUAGUUAUGUGAAUAAUAUAAUACAUUUCCAUAUAUCCUUUACCUAAAUCCUCAAGUUGUUAACAUUUUACCAUGUUUGUUUCUUUUCUCACUCUAAACACACACACACAUACACACACAUACACACACACACACACACACAUACACUCACACUUUGUCCCCCUGUCAUUUGACAAUAAAUCACAGAUACGACAUUUCAGUAUUUCUCUCCUAAGGACAUGAAUAUUCUCCUCUAUAACUACAAUUCUAUUGUCAAAAACAAGGAUAUUAUCAUUGAUACAAUAAUAUCUUUUUUUUUUUUUUUUUUUUGAGAUGGAGUCUCGCUCUGUGGCCCAGGCUAGAGUUUCUUCUGCUCAAGACAGUUCUUCUUAAGGAAAGAUUGAUGAGCUGUUCCUAGCUGUUCCUUGUGUUUUUGUUUGCUUUUGCUUUUGUUUUCCUAUUCACCUUCUAAAGCUGGUUGUUGUGGAAGGCUGAUAUAGUUGGAUAUUUG
ensembl:lncRNA novel transcript